GCCAAUGAGGGAUCUGAAGGAAGCCUUAGUCAAAUUUGCCACUUAAACUCGGUGUGAACCUCUGGUAGGCUUCGUAGAGGGGUGAGGUGCCUAUGAUCACCGAAACCCGAUAUCCUUUUCGUAACUCUGCGGGGUAAAGGAGGUAGGUGGGCAAUGAAAGUGCGUGAU
rnacentral:ncRNA from 1 species